UACGGAGGGUGCGAGCGUUGUCCGGAAUCAUUGGGCGUAAAGGGCGCGUAGGUGGCCCCUCAAGCGUGCGGUGAAAGUCAGGGGCUCAACCCCUGAUCGGCCGUGCGAACUGGGGAGCUUGAGCACUGUAGAGGCAGGCGGAAUUCCGGGUGUAGCGGUGGAAUGCGUAGAGAUCCGGAAGAACACCGGUGGCGAAAGCGGCUCACUGGACCACAACUGACGCUGAGGCGCGAAAGCUAGGGGAGCAAACAGG
rnacentral:rRNA from 1 species